rnacentral:rRNA from 1 species
CGGGACACGUGGUAUCCUGUCUGAAUAUGGGGGGACCAUCCUCCAAGGCUAAAUACUCCUGACUGACCGAUAGUGAACCAGUACCGUGAGGGAAAGGCGAAAAGAACCCCGGCGAGGGGAGUGAAAAAGAACCUGAAACCGUGUACGUACAAGCAGUGGGAGCACGCUUAGGCGUGUGACUGCGUACCUUUUGUAUAAUGGGUCAGCGACUUAUAUUCUGUAGCAAGGUUAACCGAAUAGGGGAGCCGAAGGGAAACCGAGUCUUAACUGGGCGUUAAGUUGCAGGGUAUAGACCCGAAACCCGGUGAUCUAGCCAUGGGCAGGUUGAAGGUUGGGUAACACUAACUGGAGGACCGAACCGACUAAUGUUGAAAAAUUAGCGGAUGACUUGUGGCUGGGGGUGAAAGGCCAAUCAAACCGGGAGAUAGCUGGUUCUCCCCGAAAGCUAUUUAGGUAGCGCCUCGUGAAUUCAUCUCCGGGGGUAGAGCACUGUUUCGGCAAGGGGGUCAUCCCGACUUACCAACCCGAUGCAAACUGCGAAUACCGGAGAAUGUUAUCACGGGAGACACACGGCGGGUGCUAACGUCCGUCGUGAAGAGGGAAACAACCCAGACCGCCAGCUAAGGUCCCAAAGUCAUGGUUAAGUGGGAAACGAUGUGGGAAGGCCCAGACAGCCAGGAUGUUGGCUUAGAAGCAGCCAUCAUUUAAAGAAAGCGUAAUAGCUCACUGGUCGAGUCGGCCUGCGCGGAAGAUGUAACGGGGCUAAACCAUGCACCGAAGCUGCGGCAGCGACGCUGAUGCGUUGUUGGGUAGGGGAGCGUUCUGUAAGCCUGUGAAGGUGUGCUGUGAGGCAUGCUGGAGGUAUCAGAAGUGCGAAUGCUGACAUAAGUAACGAUAAAGCGGGUGAAAAGCCCGCUCGCCGGAAGACCAAGGGUUCCUGUCCAACGUUAAUCGGGGCAGGGUGAGUCGACCCCUAAGGCGAGGCCGAAAGGCGUAGUCGAUGGGAAACAGGUUAAUAUUCCUGUACUUGGUGUUACUGCGAAGGGGGGACGGAGAAGGCUAUGUUGGCCGGGCGACGGUUGUCCCGGUUUAAGCGUGUAGGCUGGUUUUCCAGGCAAAUCCGGAAAAUCAAGGCUGAGGCGUGAUGACGAGGCACUACGGUGCUGAAGCAACAAAUGCCCUGCUUCCAGGAAAAGCCUCUAAGCAUCAGGUAACAUCAAAUCGUACCCCAAACCGACACAGGUGGUCAGGUAGAGAAUACCAAGGCGCUUGAGAGAACUCGGGUGAAGGAACUAGGCAAAAUGGUGCCGUAACUUCGGGAGAAGGCACGCUGAUAUGUAGGUGAAGCGACUUGCUCGUGGAGCUGAAAUCAGUCGAAGAUACCAGCUGGCUGCAACUGUUUAUUAAAAACACAGCACUGUGCAAACACGAAAGUGGACGUAUACGGUGUGACGCCUGCCCGGUGCCGGAAGGUUAAUUGAUGGGGUCAGCGCAAGCGAAGCUCUUGAUCGAAGCCCCGGUAAACGGCGGCCGUAACUAUAACGGUCCUAAGGUAGCGAAAUUCCUUGUCGGGUAAGUUCCGACCUGCACGAAUGGCGUAAUGAUGGCCAGGCUGUCUCCACCCGAGACUCAGUGAAAUUGAACUCGCUGUGAAGAUGCAGUGUACCCGCGGCAAGACGGAAAGACCCCGUGAACCUUUACUAUAGCUUGACACUGAACAUUGAGCCUUGAUGUGUAGGAUAGGUGGGAGGCUUUGAAGUGUGGACGCCAGUCUGCAUGGAGCCGGCCUUGAAAUACCACCCUUUAAUGUUUGAUGUUCUAACGUUGACCCGUGAUCCGGGUUGCGGACAGUGUCUGGUGGGUAGUUUGACUGGGGCGGUCUCCUCCUAAAGAGUAACGGAGGAGCACGAAGGUUGGCUAAUCCUGGUCGGACAUCAGGAGGUUAGUGCAAUGGCAUAAGCCAGCUUGACUGCGAGCGUGACGGCGCGAGCAGGUGCGAAAGCAGGUCAUAGUGAUCCGGUGGUUCUGAAUGGAAGGGCCAUCGCUCAACGGAUAAAAGGUACUCCGGGGAUAACAGGCUGAUACCGCCCAAGAGUUCAUAUCGACGGCGGUGUUUGGCACCUCGAUGUCGGCUCAUCACAUCCUGGGGCUGAAGUAGGUCCCAAGGGUAUGGCUGUUCGCCAUUUAAAGUGGUACGCGAGCUGGGUUUAGAACGUCGUGAGACAGUUCGGUCCCUAUCUGCCGUGGGCGCUGGAGAACUGAGGGGGGCUGC